GCAGCAAGCGCGAAACCUUUACACUGCACGCCAGUACGAUAAGGGGAUCCCGGGUGCGCAGGCAUAGAGCCUACGCUUUUCUGAGCUGUAGGAAGGUUGAGGAACAAGAGCUGGGCAAGACCGGUGCCAGCCGCUGCGGUAAUACCGGCAGCUCGAGUAAUGGCCGAUCUUAUUGGGCCUAAAGCGUCCGUAGCUGGCCGCGCAAGUCCGUCGGGAAAUCCACCCGCUCAACGGGUGGGCGUCCGGCGGAAACUGCAAGGCUUGGGACCGGGAGGCUUGAAGGGUACGUCCGGGGUAGGAGUGAAAUCCCGUAAUCCUGGACGGACCGCCGAUGGGGAAACCACUUCAAGAGAACGGAUCCGACAGUGAGGGACGAAAGCUAGGGUCUCGAACCGGAUUAGAUACCCGGGUAGUCCUAGCUGUAAACGAUGCCUGUUAGGUGUGACUCCCACUACGAGUGGGUGUUGUGCCGUAGGGAAGCCGCUAAACAGGCCGCCUGGGAAGUACGUCUGCAAGGAUGAAACUUAAAGGAAUUGGCGGGGGAGCACUACAACCGGAGGAGCCUGCGGUUUAAUUGGAUUCAACGCCGG
rnacentral:rRNA from 1 species